UUUAGAUGGCGACCGGCGCACGGGUGAGUAACACGUAUCCAACCUGCCGAUGACUCGGGGAUAGCCUUUCGAAAGAAAGAUUAAUACCCGAUGGCAUAGUUCUUCCGCAUGGUAGAACUAUUAAAGAAUUUCGGUCAUCGAUGGGGAUGCGUUCCAUUAGGUUGUUGGCGGGGUAACGGCCCACCAAGCCUUCGAUGGAUAGGGGUUCUGAGAGGAAGGUCCCCCACAUUGGAACUGAGACACGGUCCAA
rnacentral:rRNA from 1 species